GCCAUCAUAGUGUACAUUUGUUUUGUUCCUGGACUGAACCUACAUACAUUACAUGAUUUUCCUAAUAACUGUCAAAUCUGUCAUGAAGCUUGUCAUCAGCGUACUUUUUUCUCUUUCAUGAAAACAACAUAUUCUGCUAGAAAGGUAAAAUUAAUUAUUACAAAAUGAUUAAAAUUAAUUGAUAACAAAAUAACUGACUCUAUUAUGCAAUCAACUAAAUUCUAUACAAGAACAUGGUUUGUCAAUAUGAUCAUGGUUGGUCAAUUUUCAUGACACUAUUUCCCUCUUUUGUGGUGGCAAAUAUAAUGCAUAUGAUCGUUUGGUAAUACAGUGAGAUGAAUAGAUUGGAUGCACAAUGAUAGAGAUCAAAUAUUAUUGGAGGCAUUGUCUUCCCCCAAAAAUUUGAAGUAUGUGUUUGGAUGGGGGUGUGGGGGUGAAGCAGGAAAUUGUGAGCCAGAUGGAUCAUUGACAGAGGUGAUGAGUUUGGAUUAGAGCGGUGGAGAAAUGACAGAACGAAGGAGGAGUGAGACACCAAUUGGUGUUGAACCAAUAGAAUAGGUAGGCCCCGCUGCAACGCACGGGCAAUUAGCUAGUAAGGAGUAAAGGAGAAAGAUAUUCCAGUCAAUUGUAUUUGUUUUUAUUUUCUUUCAACCCCUCCCGUUGCCACUGACCAGUGGGUCUCUUGGGUCAGUCCAGCAUCGCAGGGACACACCAUGCGUGCCCGCAGACCCCUGCCCCUUCACCUUAUCUCCUACUCCACCCCAAUACUUCCCUCCUCACUUCAUUUCCUUUUCUCUUGGAUCCCCUUUCUCAGUCCAGCUCGCCGGGGACGCUGUUUGUUACAACGCCAGCCACAGGAAUCGGCAGGAUACGUCCGCCCUCGUUCUGGAUCGACGUCAACGCCUCCGGCUCCGACAUGCACGCCCGCUGGCCGUCGCCGUGAACCACCUCGUUUUUCCAGUGUGUUAUUUGCUCGUAGGUAGCUCCCCUAGCUCCAUUGUUGCUCCAACUUACCUUUAAUGGUGAUUCUGGGCGCUGGCGUGCAGGAACCUCUUGGACCGAGGCCCCCUUCCUCUGUUCUGCCGGCCACCGCUGUGAUGUCGUCGCGGUCAUCCUCCUCACCAAACAACGCCAGGGACCAUGA
rnacentral:rRNA from 1 species